rnacentral:rRNA from 1 species
AUGCCUACAAAAAAUCAAUUGAUUCAUCAUGGUAGAGAAGAAAAACGGCUGAGCAAUCGACAUGAUAUAUUUGCUCACAUUCCAGGCGAAGGUCAUAAUUCGCAGGAACAUUCUAUAGUCUUAGUCAGAGGAGGUAGAGUGAAAGAUUCGCCAGGUGUGAAAUCCCAUUGUAUUCGAGGAGUCAAGGAUUUGCUGGGAAUUCCGGAUCGUAGAAAGGGAAGAUCUAAAUAUGGUGCAGAAAGACCUAAAUCGAAAUGA